rnacentral:rRNA from 1 species
CCUACGGGAGGCAGCAGUGAGGAAUAUUGGUCAAUGGGCGCAAGCCUGAACCAGCCAUCCCGCGUGAAGGAUGAAGGCCCUAUGGGUCGUAAACUUCUUUUAUACGCCAAGAAAAUUUCGGACGUGUCCGGAACUGACGGUAGUGUAUGAAUAAGCAUCGGCUAACUCCGUGCCAGCAGCCGCGGUAAUACGGAGGAUGCAAGCGUUAUCUGGAUUCAUUGGGUUUAAAGGGUGCGUAGGCGGCUUUUUAAGUCAGUGGUGAAAUCCUGCCGCUUAACGGUAGAAUUGCCAUUGAUACUGAAGAGCCUGAGUACAUUUGAGGUAAGCGGAAUGUGUAGUGUAGCGGUGAAAUGCUUAGAUAUUACACAGAACACCAAUUGCGAAGGCAGCUUACUAAACUGUUACUGACGCUGAUGCACGAAAGCGUGGGGAGCGAACAGGAUUAGAUACCCUGGCAGUCCACGCCGUAAACGAUGCUCACUCGCUGUUUGCGAUACACAGCAAGCGGCCAAGCGAAAGCAUUAAGUGAGCCACGNGGAGUAGAGNGNGAGUAGUAACGUAAGUAGAGUAGAGNGNGAGAGNGCGACGGACGACACGAGGGAGGUAGG